rnacentral:misc_RNA from 1 species
UACAGAGGUGGCAAGCGUUGUUCGGAUUUAUUGGGCGUAAAGGGUCCGUAGGCGGUUCGGAAAGUCGGAUGUGAAAUCCCACAGCUCAACUGUGGAACUGCAUUCGAAACUCCCGGACUAGAGUGUGAGAGGGGUGAAGGGAAUUCCCGGUGUAAGGGUGAAAUCUGCAGAGAUCGGGAGGAACACCAGUCGCGAAGGCGCUUCACUGGCUCACUACUGACGCUGAGGGACGAAAGCUAGGGGAGCGAACGGG